GGACUAUCAUGUUGGUCGUGCCUUGGUACGUACUAGUUUAUUGGUUUCUUCCUUCUGACGAACCAUGAUGUCAUUAAUUUGGUGUCUUGGGGAAUCAGGACUGUUACUUUGAAAAAAUUAGAGUGUUUAAAGCAGGCUCACGCUUGAAUACAUUAGCAUGGAAUAAUGAAAUAGGACGUUUGAUUCUAUUUUGUUGGUUUCUAGGAUCGACGUA
rnacentral:rRNA from 1 species